rnacentral:lncRNA from 1 species
CUGUUCUUAUCACUUUAUUUAAAUGUGUUACCUCUUACUCGUUUGUAGUAAAUUGAUGAGGAAGAGACUAUUAUUAUCCUUAUUUUACAGAUGAGGAAACUGAGGUCCCCAAACCUGCCCAGAGUCACACAGCCGGUCAUGAGUGGAGCCAGGAUCUGAAACAAGGCAGUGUGGCUCCAGAGCCUGCCAUGUGCCUGACGGAGCUCACACUCAGCAGGAACAUCGCCAAAGGCAAGGGAAGCAAGGGAAAAAAUGAACUAUUGGGAUUUCAUCAAGAUCAAAAGCUUUUGCACAGCAAAGGAAACAGUUAACAAAAUCAAAAGACAACUGACAGAAUGCNNNNNNNNNNNN